GGAUUACCUGGUAGUCCAGGGGCCAAAGGUGGACCUGGAGUUCAAGUUCAAAGUUUUGGAUCACCUGGUAGUCCAGGGGCCAAAGGUGGACCUGGAGGUCAGGCCGGCAUGUCUGUUGACCUUUGGGCGAGCCUGGGGUUCCUGGUAUGGAAGGUACUCCUGGUCCCAGGUAAAUACUUUUGUCAAUAACACUGGCUCCAGGUACUCACGGUGUAAU